rnacentral:rRNA from 1 species
GACGAACGCUGGCGGCGUGCUUAACACAUGCAAGUCGAACGGAAAGGCCCUGCUCUUGUGGGGUGCUCGAGUGGCGAACGGGUGUGUAACACGUGAGUAAACUGCCCUUGACAUUGGGAUAACAUCAGGAAAAAGGGGCUAAUACCGGAUAGGAGCUCCUGCUGCACGGUGGGGGUUGGUAAGUUUCGGCGGUUGGGGAUGGACGCGCGGCUUAUCAGCUUGUUGGUGGGGUAGUGGCUUACCACGGCUUUGACGGGUAGCCGGCCUGAGAGGGUGACCGGCCACAUUGGGACUGAGGUACGGCCCAGACUCCUACGGGAGGCAGCAGUGGGGAAUAUUGCACAAUGGGCGGAGGCCUGAUGCAGCAACGCCGCGUGCGGGAUGACGGCCUUCGGGUUGUAAACCGCUUUCGCCUGUGACGAAGCGUGAGUGACGGUAAUGGGUAAAGAAGCACCGGCUAACUACGUG